GACAACACACCCCAAAUGAUGAUCUGAGUUGCUAGGAAAGAAACCUGAGGUUGACAUUGAGCACACCAUCUUCUUUGUCACCAUCCAGAGAAUCUACAAAGAACCAGAUCCCUCUCCUCAACAUGAAUCCUUCUGUGCUCUUGGAACCUGAAGUUUCCAGGGUUUUUAGCUAUUUCAGAGAAAGGAAAUUUCAGAACCAGAAUCCUGCUCUGGAAUUCCAUCUCCUGCAUUUCUAGCAUGGAGCUAGAACAAUUGAGUUCUCGAAGUCCUCUCUUGAGGCCAGGGUUGUGGCUCAGCGGUAGAGCACUAGCCUAGCACAUGUGAGGUGUUGGGCUCAAUAUUCA
rnacentral:lncRNA from 1 species